AAACAGGCAUUUGCCUUUUUCUGUCAGCUGAGGCCGGACUGUGGGAGACUAUUACUACACGUUGUAGCUUUGUAUCUGUUUGGAGAGAGCGUUGUGAAAAGCUGGUAUGGUGUGAAGGAAAACACAUUGUUUGAAGGCUUAUUCAAGGGCACAAUCAUGGAGGAAAUGGACUUUGAGCGGCGCCGGGAGCUGAGGAGGCAGAAGCGGGAGGAGAUGCGCCUGGAGGCCGAACGGUUGGCUAGGAAUGAUGAUGAUGAAGAGGAGGCAGCCCGCGAAAGGAGGCGCAGGGCACGCCAGGAGAGGAUGAAGGGCAGGGAGAGUGAGGAGCCCAGCGGACUUCCAGACAGUCUGGUCAUAACCAACAGCCACAGUGUGACAGAGACGGUGUCUGUGAGCAGCUCUCACGGAGGAGGCGGAGUUGACGAGGAGGACCAGGCCCUGCUGGAUCGCAUGGCCAAACGUGAGGAGCGACGGCAGAGGCGCAUGAUGGAGGCUCUGGAUAGACAAAAGGAGCUGGACCCCACCGCUACGGACGGCAGCGACAGCAUUGCCAUGGAGAAAAACAACGUAGAGGAGGAGAGGCCAUCUUCCUGGCGCAGGGGUCGUUACCGUGACAAUGAUGAUGAAGAGGAGAAGACAGAGGAGUACAGCUCAAGCAGAGAGGAGAAGAAGCGAGAGGAGCCGAGGGAGGAAGAAGAGGCUGCUCCUGAGGGUGGAGAGGAAGAAGAUGAGGGUGUUGAUGAAGAGGAGGAGGAGCAGAAAGUGGAGGUGAUGGAGGACAAACCAAGAAGGUCUUACUUGAGAGAACAGGAAUCAACUGAAGAACCUAAAAUGCAAAGCAAGGAACUCGCUGAAGAAGAAACACAUUCAGUAGUCAGUGAGAUUUCAAACCAAGCCAAGUCAACCAAUUCAGAGGCUGAGGAGGAUUCGGUAGCAUCAGAGGAGGCUGAGGAGGUGAAUGAGAGAGGCUGGGCCAGGGAGGAACAGGGGAGGCAGAACGGAGGGCUGCACGAGGAGGAGGAGGCGGCUCCCAAACAGCACAGGAAACCUGAGAGGACCCUCAGUCGCGGCAGUGUCCGUUCCCCCGAGGCGUCCGCGGGUGACGACCAGGACGACGCUGCCCACCUGGAGGCAGAGCGCAAGCUGGAGGAGCUGAAGCGCCGCCGCGACGACGCGGAGAGUGAAGAGUUUGAGCGGAUGAGGCAGAAGCAGCAGGAGGCCGAAGCCGAGCUGGAGGAGCUGAAGAGGAAGAGGGAGGAGAGGAAGAAGGUGCUGGAGGAGGAGGAGAGGCAGAAGAAGCAGGAGGAGGCAGAGAGAAAAGCUAGGGAGGAGGAGGAGAAGAGGAAGAUGAAGGAGGAGAUUGAAAGGAGGAGAGCAGAGGCAGCUGAGAAGAGACAGAAGGUGGAAGACAAUAUGGACGAGGAGGGCAGACCCUUCAAAUGUGUCAGCCCUCGAGGCUCCUCUCUGAAGAUUGGGGAGAGGGCAGAGUUCCUGAACAAGUCAGCACAGAAGAGCAGCACUUUGAAGGCGUCUCAUUCUCCUGUGGUGUCCAAGAUUGACAACAGGCUGGAGCAGUACACUUCAGCUGCUCAGCAGAGAGAGAACAAGGAGUCUCGAUCCCCUCGCUCUGGAGCGGUAGAUCUUCCCAUGGUUACAGACAGCAUUCGAAACAUCAAGAGCAUGUGGGAGAAAGGCAACGUGUUCGGCACACCUGGAAGUGCCGGGAGCCCGUUCAAGGAAGCAGCUGUGAUGAAGACAGGCGUGGCGGGUCGCAUUAACGAUUGGCUGAAUAAAACCCCGGAGAGCGGCAAAAUGUCAGGAGGAAAGCCAACGGACCUGAAGCCUGUGGACGUCACCAACAAGAGGAGUCUAUGGGAAAACAAAGGUGCCUCUCCAACCAAGAACUCUCAUAGCUAGUUGACCUCACCGUUUAAUCUGGAAUAAACCUGGAGAGGUGGCAGGCAGAGUGGAGACCAAAUCAGUCGCCAACGGUAUGGGACACUAAUGUCUUAAAGGAGCCACUAAAGCUGGGGACCACGACAAUCCAAGACUCUUCCUUUGACUUUGUCUUAAGAACCAAAUAAUGAUCACACUCCCAAGAGGAAACCCAAGAAAACGGAGGGACAGGAGAGACUCUGUCCAAGCACUGUACCGAAACAGCAUCAUAUUUUGUACGGUUGCCACGUAUAGUGCAUUUGCACAUUGAUUUUUGCUUUCUAAAAGAAACUAAAUGCUGUGAAAUUUGGACAUUUGUAAUUACUAUUACUAAUUACUUUAUACAAUCCUGCCAGGAAGAGAAAAAUAAUUAAAUUUUGAUUUAUCUGUUGUACUCCAUGUCGACAGUUUUGAUAGAGACAGAAUAGAGGAGUUAAAAGUUUCCACAUUCCAAAGAGAUGGGUGAAAUCAGUUCUCUCCCUCAUAUAAUACAUUUUCCAUCUCUUUUUUUUUUAAUUUAUAUUUAAAGCAAAAGCUUCACACAUUGCUAUUUUAUUCCACGUUCACCAGUUCAGGAUAGAAAUAUAAGCACUUCUAGAAUUUAGCUGAUUUCACUUUUAUUAUGUCUUACCAAUAGUGCAGCAAUGGUCUAAGUAAUAUAUGUUAGCACAUGUGAUGUUUCAAAUAUGACCUAUCAUACUGUAUCUUAUAUAACAUUUUUAUACUCAUUACAAAAGGUAUUUUUGCUUUUUUUUUGUAUCCAGAAACUUUUCAACAACAGGCAGUACAUUUUGGUGGUGAUAGGAGUGUUGAAUAUUCAGAAGGCCAUUAUGACUUUUAUUAUCCUUUGUGUCAUUUUAUUUAUGUUUUAAUGUGUUUUGUCCUUUUCUAUUUCUAGCUGUUUUUUUUAGCUGUUGUGCCUGUUUGAUCACUUUAAAAUCUUCAGACAUUCCUCUUAAAAAGCAGGUGCACAAGGUGCCUUCGCUGUAGGUUUUACAAUGUAGGAAAUCUGCAAACCAACCCUCUUUUUUAGAAUCUAACUUAACUUCUGCUUAUAACUAACUUCUUUAUUGCCUCUAUGCACACUCUUUUGCUCAGCGAUCAUUUUCUAAUUGAUGGCAUACAAAGUAAAAUCAGGGUGCCGGAGCAUAUUGCAAGAUACUAGUACAAUACAAGGAUAUUUACCACUAUGUACGUCUUCUGGCCUUAUGAUUGCAAUAAAAACAUUUAUGACAGCUGAGGUACAUGAUAGCCUCAAAGUAACUCAAUAUGAUAUUAAGACUUGUGAUUUUCAUGUUUAUUUUUCACUGACGUGGUCUUAAGUAGCACAUUCCCUUUGAUAGUUUUUUUGAGCGAUUCAAGCUUUGAUAAUAUUAUUGGUUUGCCAGGGCAUUAAAUUGAUCAAUGUUACUGCUCAAAAGUCUGACAAUCACAUUCCAUGGCUCCUGAAAAGAGCAGGGGAGCUUGACCAAAAUAUUUGUAAUGUGAUUUAAUGUGACAUUUAUGUUUUCGUUUUUUUUAUUACAGUGGUUUCAUAAGUUUUUUUUGUUUUUACAACCUUGUGUCCAUUUUAUGUUUUUUAAAGUUCUUCCAUGUUUAACCAGACACUUGUUUGUGUAGCGCGAAGCCUAUGCAAAACACACUAUCUGUAACCUCUCUAAACACUCCAAAAUGUCAUACAAGUGGGCAGUUUCCAACUGGAUGAAUGUUUUAAACAUUGUACGCUUCACUCAAUAACAGCAAUAAAGACAUUGAGGUAUUCCA